GGGCGGUUAGCUCAGGGGCAGAGUGUCGGUCUUACAAACCGGAGGUCACUGGUUCGAACCCAGUACCGCCCACCA
rnacentral:tRNA from 3 species